rnacentral:rRNA from 1 species
CUGGUUGAUCCUGCCAGACCCGACUGCUAUCGGAUUGGGACUAAGCCAUGCGAGUCAACUCCGCAAGGGGUGGCGCACGGCUCAGUAACACGUAGUCAACCUACCCUGGGGACGGGGAUAACCUCGGGAAACUGAGGCUAAACCCCGAUGGGCCAUGGCUCCUGGAAUGGGCUAUGGCUGAAAUCCACAUGGCCCCAGGAUGGGACUGCGGCCGAUCAGGUUGUUGGUGGGGUAAUGGCCCACCAAGCCUAUAACCGGUGCGGGCUCUGAGAGGAGGAGCCCGGAGAUAGGCACUGAGACAAGGACCCAGGUCCUAUGGGGCGCAGCAGGCGCGAAACCUCCGCAAUGGGCGAAAGCCCGACGGGGUCAGUCCGAGUGGUUCCCGCUGAGGGAACCUUUUGCCAGCUGUAAACAGGCUGGCGAAUAAGGGGUGGGCGAGUUUGGUGUCAGCCGCCGCGGUAAUACCAGCACCCCGAGUGGUCGGGACGAUUAUUGGGCCUAAAGCAUCCGUAGCCGGCCCAGUAAGUCCUCCGUUAAAUCCAACGGCUCAACCGUUGGGCUGCGGGGGAUACUGCUGGGCUAGGGGACGGGAGAGGCGAGGGGUAUUCCCGGGGUAGGGGUAAAAUCCACUGAUCCCGGGAGGACCACCAGUGGCGAAGGCGCCUCGCUAGAACGUGCCCGACGGUGAGGGAUGAAAGCUGGGGGAGCGAACCGGAUUAGAUACCCGGGUAGUCCCAGCCGUAAACGAUGUAGGCUCGGUGUUGGGCUGCCUCAGUGGCAGCCCAGUGCCGCAGGGAAGCCGUUAAGCCUACCGCCUGGGGAGUACGGCCGCAAGGCUGAAACUUAAAGGAAUUGGCGGGGGAGCACCAC